GCUGGGCAUGGUGGCACGUGCCUGUAGUCCCAGCUACUUGGGAGGCUGAGGUGGGAGGAUCGCUUGAGCCUAGGAGUUCUCUAGCAGGAUCAGGUGUCCGCACCAAGUUUGGCAUCAAUAUGGUGACCUCCCAGGAGCAGGGAACCACCAGGUUGCCCAAGGAGGGGUGAGCUGGCCCAGGUUAGAAACACAGCAGGUCAAAACUCCUGUGCUGAUCAGAAAGUUAAAGUAUCUUUUCUUAACCUCAGUUUCCUCAUGUGGAAAAUGAAACCUACCU
rnacentral:SRP_RNA from 10 species